rnacentral:rRNA from 1 species
CAAGCGAACAAGUGCAUGUGGUGGAUGCCUUGGCGAUCACAGGCGAUGAAGGACGCGGUAGCCUGCGAAAAGCGGAGGGGAGCUGGCAAACGAGCUUUGAUCCUCCGAUAUCCGAAUGGGGAAACCCGGCCCGUAUGGGUCAUCCGUAACUGAAUACAUAGGUUACGUGAAGCGAACGCGGUGAACUGAAACAUCUAAGUAACCGCAGGAAAAGAAAUCAACCGAGAUUCCCAGAGUAGUGGCGAGCGAAAUGGGACCAGCCUGUACUCUUUAUCUUCAUUGUUAGUCGAAGGCUCUGGAAAGUGCCGCCAUAGCAGGUGAUAGCCCUGUAGACGAAAACAGCGGGGAAGAACUAGGUGUACGGAAAGUAGGGCGGGACACGUGAAAUCCUGUCUGAAGAUGGGGGGACCAUCCUCCAAGGCUAAAUACUCGUGAUCGACCGAUAGUGAACCAGUACCGUGAGGGAAAGGCGAAAAGAACCCCGGGAGGGGAGUGAAACAGAUCCUGAAACCGCAUGCAUACAAACAGUCGGAGCCUCGCAAGGGGUGACGGCGUACCUUUUGUAUAAUGGGUCAGCGACUUACAUUCAGUGGCAAGCUUAACCGAUUAGGGCAGGCGUAGCGAAAGCGAGUCCGAACAGGGCGAUUCAGUCGCUGGGUGUAGACCCGAAACCAGGUGAUCUAUCCAUGGCCAGGAUGAAGGUGCGGUAACACGUACUGGAGGUCCGAACCCACUAACGUUGAAAAGUUAGGGGAUGAGCUGUGGAUAGGGGUGAAAGGCUAAACAAACCUGGAAAUAGCUGGUUCUCUCCGAAAACUAUUUAGGUAGUGCCUCGUGUAUCACCUUCGGGGGUAGAGCACUGUCAUGGUUGUGGGGUCCAUUGCGGAUUACUACGCCAUAGCAAACUCCGAAUACCGAAGAGUGCAAUCACGGGAGACAGACAUCGGGUGCUAACGUCCGGUGUCAAGAGGGAAACAACCCAGACCGCCAGCUAAGGUCCCCAAAUAUUGCUAAGUGGGAAACGAAGUGGGAAGGCUAAAACAGUCAGGAGGUUGGCUUAGAAGCAGCCAUCCUUUAAAGAAAGCGUAAUAGCUCACUGAUCGAGUCGUCCUGCGCGGAAGAUGUAACGGGGCUAAGCAAUAUACCGAAGCUGCGGAUGCACAUUUAUGUGCAUGGUAGGAGAGCGUUCCGUAAGCCUGCGAAGGUGCAUUGAAAAGUGUGCUGGAGGUAUCGGAAGUGCGAAUGCUGACAUGAGUAGCGAUAAAGGGGGUGAAAGGCCCCCUCGCCGUAAGCCCAAGGUUUCCUACGCAACGUUCAUCGGCGUAGGGUGAGUCGGCCCCUAAGGCGAGGCAGAAAUGCGUAGCUGAUGGGAAGCAGGUUAAUAUUCCUGCACCAUUGUUAAAUGCGAUGGGGGGACGGAUCGCGGAAGGUUGUCCGGGUGUUGGAAGUCCCGGUCCUUGCAUUGGAGAAGGCGCUUAGGCAAAUCCGGGCGCGGAAUUCAAGGGUGCGAGGCCAUUCACUUAGGUGAAGAAGCAAUCGGAAGUGGUUCCAAGAAAAGCCUCUAAGCUUCAGUUUAACAGGACCGUACCGCAAACCGACACAGGUGGGCGAGAUGAGUAUUCUAAGGCGCUUGAGAGAACUCGGGAGAAGGAACUCGGCAAAUUGGUACCGUAACUUCGGGAUAAGGUACGCCCCUGUAGCUUGAUGCCCCUGCGGGCAGAGGGUGAAGGGGUUGCAAUAAACUGGUGGCUGCGACUGUUUAAUAAAAACACAGCACUCUGCAAACACGAAAGUGGACGUAUAGGGUGUGACGCCUGCCCGGUGCCGGAAGAUUAAAUGAUGGGGUGCAAGCUCUUGAUUGAAGUCCCGGUAAACGGCGGCCGUAACUAUAACGGUCCUAAGGUAGCGAAAUUCCUUGUCGGGUAAGUUCCGACCUGCACGAAUGGCGUAACGAUGGCCACACUGUCUCCUCCCGAGACUCAGCGAAGUUGAAGUGUUUGUGAUGAUGCAAUCUCCCCGCGGCUAGACGGAAAGACCCCAUGAACCUUUACUGUAGCUUUGCAUUGGACUUUGAACCGAUCUGUGUAGGAUAGGUGGGAGGCUAUGAAGCGUGGACGCCAGUCUGCGUGGAGCCGUCCUUGAAAUACCACCCUGGUUUGUUUGAGGUUCUAACCUUGGUCCGUAAUCCGGAUCGGGGACAGUGCAUGGUAGGCAGUUUGACUGGGGCGGUCUCCUCCCAAAGUGUAACGGAGGAGUACGAAGGUACGCUAGGUACGGUCGGAAAUCGUGCUGAUAGUGCAAUGGCAUAAGCGUGCUUAACUGCGAGACCGACAAGUCGAGCAGGUGCGAAAGCAGGUCAUAGUGAUCCGGUGGUUCUGUAUGGAAGGGCCAUCGCUCAACGGAUAAAAGGUACUCUGGGGAUAACAGGCUGAUACCGCCCAAGAGUUCAUAUCGACGGCGGUGUUUGGCACCUCGAUGUCGGCUCAUCUCAUCCUGGGGCUGUAGCCGGUCCCAAGGGUAUGGCUGUUCGCCAUUUAAAGAGGUACGUGAGCUGGGUUUAAAACGUCGUGAGACAGUUUGGUCCCUAUCUGCCGUGGGCGCUGGAUAUUUGAAGGGGGCUGCUCCUAGUACGAGAGGACCGGAGUGGACGAACCUCUGGUGUACCGGUUGUCACGCCAGUGGCAUCGCCGGGUAGCUAUGUUCGGAAGAGAUAACCGCUGAAAGCAUCUAAGCGGGAAACUCGCCUUAAGAUGAGAUAUCCCCGGGGCUUCGAGCCCCUUGAAGGGUCGUUCAAGACCAGGACGUUGAUAGGUCAGGUGUGGAAGCGCAGUAAUGCGUUAAGCUAACUGAUACUAAUUGCCCGUAAGGCUUGAUCC